rnacentral:rRNA from 1 species
UGGGGAAUAUUGCACAAUGGAGGGAACUCUGAUGCAGCGACGCCGCGUGAACGAAGAAGGCUUUCGAGUCGUAAAGUUCUUUUAUAUGGGAAGAUAAUGACGGUACCAUAAGAAAAAGCCCCGGCUAACUACGUGCCAGCAGCCGCGGUAAUACGUCGGGGGCUAGCGUUGUCCGGAAUCACUGGGAGUAAAGGGUACGCAGGCGGAAAUGCAAGUCAGGUGUAAAAGGCAGUAGCUUAACUACUGUAAGCAUUUGAAACUGCAUAUCUUGAGAAGAGUAGAGGUAAGUGGAAUUUUUAGUGUAGCGGUGAAAUGCGUAGAUAUUAAAAAGAAUACCGGUGGCGAAGGCGACUUACAGGGCGCAUUCUGACGAUGAGGAACGAAAGCGUGGGUAGCAAACAGG